GCUUUUUGCUUGGGUAGGUGGUUUUCCUCACCUGCCUCUGGACAAGAGGGCCAGGUGAGGUGGCAGUGUAUCGAAACAGUGCUCCUCCCCCGGCACCCAUCCUCAGACCCCCUAACCCUCCUUCUCUCCAGCUGGCUGCAGCCUAGUGUUGAACAGGAACUUCGUGCAGUACGCCUGCUUUGGGCUCUUUGGAAUCAGCUCUGCAGACGAUUGCCUUCAGCAUUUUAUGGGACUUGAAGUAUUUGAUGAGGAACCUGGCCCUGGGAGGAGGCCUGUUGCUGCUCCUAGCAGAAUCUCAUUCUGAAGGGAAGAGCAUGUUCGCAGGCGUCCCCACCAUGCGUGAGAGCUCCCCCAAACAGUACAUGCAGCUCGGAGGCAGGAUCUUGCUGGUUCUGAUGUUCAUGACCCUCCUUGACUUUGAUGCCAGCUUCUUUUCUGUAAGUAUUCCUGCUUGUCUGAAUGGGUCUGGUUUUCUGUCCUACUAGAAGGAAUGCUGUGCUUCCCCCAUCCCCUCCCUGUUCACCCCUCCCUGGUUGGGUACUAACCACAGCCUGAGGGAGCUGCUCAAAUGGAGCAAACCUUUUGAUCCCAUUAAAACAGACCAAAAAAUCAUCAAUCCCUUGUGUGUCAAGCCUUCUUUCCAGCAAGUGAAGGCCAGAGCCUCUAACCUAGGUGGAGUGUGCUUGGCCCUUGGUCGGCCAAGGCUCUCCACCCAAGCUCUUCUUAUAUUUUGGAAGAUGGUGAUAGGGGAACUCCUUUGAGUUAGAAAGAACAUUGGCAAAUAGCCUAUUCCUGGUUUUCCUCUUCAAGUAAUACAAAUCCUUAGCAUCAGUCAUGUAAUGACUGGCAACCUGUGGCUACCUGGCUUAUCUGUGCAGGGGUCCUGUGCUGCAUUCGUAGUCACUUAAACUGCCAGGCACAAGUUCAGGAUUGUUCUUUGCAAAUCAGUCAGUGAAUCUUCUGUAGAAAUAGAAUAGAAUUCUGGAGAUCCUACUGAAGACACUCCUGUGCUUGACCUCCAUUUCAUGUUAGAACACAGCUUGACUAGCAGGUUAACUGAAUCACAUGUUUCCAUAACUGUCAGAGGAUGGAUGGAUAUUUCGGGAAGCAGAUUCUCAGAUGGAGGUGAGCCUCAGGAAGCUAACCAGGCUUCCAUACUUGUGAGAAAGGGAACAUAAGUGAACGUAAAGGAAGAAGUUGAGCUGUGAUGCCUUCUCAGAAGAAGCUUCAGCCAACUUUGGGGGCAGUUCUGAAGCUGAGGUCCGUUUAGAGCUAUCCUGCAUCGUAAUGAGGGGUCUGGGGCUUUAAUCUCUGAUUAAGCAUUGCAUGCCAGCCACCCAGGAAGAGGUGUGACUUCUGGUGAGCCAAACAGGAGAGGCUGACUGCUGACAUCUACCUGCCUGGGAACGUGCAGUAGCUGGGAGAACAAACCUUUCAUUCCUGAAAGGUGUAUGUAAAAACAGGCACAUGGCAAAAAACACACUGAACAUAUAGACCUAAUAUGAGCCUCAAAAGCAGUAAUAAGGAAGUACAUUUUCCUGCUUUCUGUGGUCAGCAGGAAGUCACAGGCUGUCCUAAUCAGAAAUCCGUUUGAAGUCAAGUCAACCUCAUCUUAGUUCUGGAAUGCUUGUACCUUCUGGGGCUACAGGGCUUCAGUGUUUUGACUUGGAGUGGAAUGAGAAUUGUCAGGAGGAAACCCCAUGACUGGAUCACCACUAUAUGAGGGAGGUGGCUUGAGGGCUCAGCUGGGUCAUGUAGGCAAGGGUGAUGGUUUGGUGUAGUCGCUCUUUCCUGUUACUGAACGCUG